GUAACGGCCCACCGAGGCGACGAUGCGUAGGGGUUCUGAGAGGAAGGUCCCCCACACUGGUACUGAGACACGGACCAGACUCCUACGGGAGGCAGCAGUGAGGAAUAUUGGUCAAUGGCCGGGAGGCUGAACCAGCCAAGUCGCGUGAGGGAAGACGGCCCUACGGGUUGUAAACCUCUUUUGUCAGGGAGCAAGAGGCGGGUCGAGACCUGCUGUGAGAGUACCUGAAGAAAAAGCAUCGGCUAACUCCGUGCCAGCAGCCGCGGUAAUACGGAGGAUGCGAGCGUUAUCCGGAUUUAUUGGGUUUAAAGGGUGCGCAGGCGGAGGCACAAGUCAGCGGUAAAAUCGCGGGGCUCAACCCCGCUCCGCCGUUGAAACUGUGUCCCUUGAGUGCGCGAAGGGUAGGCGGAAUGCGUGGUGUAGCGGUGAAAUGCAUAGAUAUCACGCAGAACUCCGAUCGCGAAGGCAGCCUACCGGCGCGCAACUGACGCUCAUGCACGAAAGCGUGGGUAUCGAACAGGAUUAGAUACCCUGGUAGUCCACGCAGUAAACGAUGAGUGCUAUCUGUCCGGCCGGAAUGACGGCUGG
rnacentral:rRNA from 1 species